rnacentral:rRNA from 1 species
AUGGCUAAAUACUGGUGGAGUAGCUCUCUGGACAAAAGGUCUUUGCACUGGAUUUCCUGGAAGGCGCUUGCAUCCCCCAAAGUCAAUGGUGGAAUGGGAUUUCGAGACAUGGAAUUAUUCAAUUUAGCGCUUCUUGGCAAGCAUGGUUGGAGGUUCAUGGCCAAUCCCGAUUCCUUGUGUGCCCGUGUCAUGAAGGGUAGAUACUUUCCGGAUUCGGAUUUUAUGCAAGCCACUGUUCCGCAGUCUGCUUCUCCUAUUUGGCGAGCGAUUGUGGCCGGACGGGAG